rnacentral:rRNA from 1 species
CGCCCAGACUCCUACGGAGGCAGCAGUGGGGAAUAUUGCCCAAUGGGGGAAACCCUGAUGCAGCGACGCAGNGUGCGGGAUGACGGCCUUCGGGUGUAAACCGCUUCAGCAGGGAAGAAGCCCCUUGGGGUGACGGUACCUGCAGAAGAAGUACCGGCUAACUACGUGCCAGCAGCCGCGGUAAUACGUAGGGUACAAGCGUUGUCCGGAAUUAUUGGGCGUAAAGAGCUCGUAGGUGGUUGGUCACGUCUGCUGUGGAAACGCAACGCUNAACGUUGCGCGUGCAGUGGGUACGGGCUGACUAGAGUGCAGUAGGGGAGUCUGGAAUUCCUGGUGUAGCGGUGAAAUGCGCAGAUAUCAGGAGGAACACCGGUGGCGAAGGCGGGACUCUGGGCUGUAACUGACACUGAGGAGCGAAAGCAUGGGGAGCGAACAGGAUUAGAUACCCUGGUAGUCCAUGCCGUAAACGUUGGGCACUAGGUGUGGGGGACAUUCCACGUUCUCCGCGCCGUAGCUAACGCAUUAAGUGCCCCGCCUGGGGAGUACGGUCGCAAGGCUAAAACUCAAAGGAAUUGACGGGGGCCCGCACAAGCGGCGGAGCAUGCGGAUUAAUUCGAUGCAACGCGAAGAACCUUACCAAGGCUUGACAUACACCAGACCGUUCUGGAAACAGUUCCUCCCCUUUGGGGUUGGUGUACAGGUGGUGCAUGGUUGUCGUCAGCUCGUGUCGUGAGAUGUUGGGUUAAGUCCCGCAACGAGCGCAACCCUCGUUCUAUGUUGCCAGCACGUAAUGGUGGGAACUCAUAGGAGACUGCCGGGGUCAACUCGGAGGAAGGUGGGGAUGACGUCAAAUCAUCAUGCCCUUUAUGUCUUGGGCUUCACGCAUGCUACAAUGGCUGGUACAGAGAGAUGCGAGACCGCGAGGUUUUAGCGAAUCCCUUAAAGCCAGUCUCAGUUCGGAUCGUAGUCUGCAAUUCGACUACGUGAAGUCGGAGUCGCUAGUAAUCGCAGAUCAGCA